AUUGAACGCUGGCGGGAUGCUUUACACAUGCAAGUCGAACGAGUGGCGGACGGGUGAGUAAUAUAUCGGAACGUGCCCAAUCGCGGGGGAUAACUACUCGAAACUGUGGCUAAUACCGCAUACUAUUGGAGAGGCCCAGAUGGGAUUAGCUAGUUGGUGGGGUAAUGGCCCACCAAGGCGACGAUCCCUAGCUGGUUUGAGAGGACGACCAGCCACACUGGGACUGAGACACGGCCCAGACGCCUACGGGAGGCAGCAGUGGGGAAUUUUGCACAAUGGGGGAAACCCUGACGCAGCCAGGCCGCGUGAAUGAGAAGGCCUUCGGGUUGUAAAGUACUUUCGGCGACGAGGCGUUAUCUGCAGAAGAAGCACCGGCUAACUACGUGCCAGCCGCCGCGGUAAUAC
rnacentral:rRNA from 1 species